UCCCAGACUCCUACGGGAGGCAGCAGUGGGGAAUAUUGCACAAUGGGGGAAACCCUGAUGCAGCGACGCCGCGUGAGCGAAGAAGUACCUCGGUAUGUAAAGCUCUAUCAGCAGGGAAGAAAGUGACAGUACCUGACUAAGAAGCCCCGGCUAACUACGUGCCAGCAGCCGCGGUAAUACGUAGGGGGCAAGCGUUAUCCGGAAUCACUGGGUGUAAAGGGAGCGUAGACGGCUGUGCAAGCCUGAAGUGAAAGGCGGGGGCCAACCCCCGGACUGCUUUGGGAACUGUACGGCUGGAGUGCAGGAGAGGUAAGUGGAAUUCCUAGUGUAGCGGUGAAAUGCGUAGAUAUUAGGAGGAACACCAGUGGCGAAGGCGGCUUACUGGACUGUAACUGACGUUGAGGCUCGAAAGCGUGGGGAGCAAACAGGAUUAGAUACCCCUGUA
rnacentral:rRNA from 1 species